rnacentral:misc_RNA from 1 species
GGAAAUUAUUGGUUGGUAUGAGUUGCCAGAAACCUUGGACGUUUUCUCGCGCUGCUCAUUAUGUUUUGGGAUGGACUGUGAAGUUAAUGGGAUUAUGCAGUUGCAAGAAGCAGCUACAAGAGAAAAUUCUAAUGAUAACUUUCUGUAUUAUCCUACUGUUAUGGACGUCCAUAGUGAUAACCUUGAACAUUUUCAGAAGCACUGGGGUAAAGGUCAACCUGUAAUAGUUCGUAAUGUUCUUCCGGAUACAUCUGAUCUUAGUUGGGACCCA